GAUUCUGCAGGCACUGGCUACCAUGUUUUGUGCUGUCUUAUGGAGAGGCCAAAGUGGCAAGGAGCUGAGGAUGGUCUCUGGCCAACAGCCCAUGAGGACCUGAAUCUUGACAACAACCAUGUGAAUGAGCUUAGGAAUGGACCCUUCCUCAUUUGAUCUUUCUGAUGAGACCAUAGCACUGAUCAGUUUCUUCAUGGCAGCAUCAUUAAGAUACUGAUGAUGGAACUGAGGUCUUCAGCUAAGCUAUGCCAGAGCUGUGAAAUAAUAUGCAUGCAUUGCUUUAAGAUGCUAAGUGUUGGGACUGGGGAUUUAGCUCAGUGGUUCCGCCGCCUGCCUCACAAGCACAAGGACCUGAGUUCGAUCCCUGGUACCAAAAAAAAAAAGAUGCUAAGUGUUGGGAUCAUUUGAUAAGUAAUAGCCCAAAUAUAGGUGUCCUUUGAUAUACAAUGGGAUCACAUCCCUAUAAGCCCAUCUCACAUUGAAAAUCAUCUCACACUGAAAUCAUCAGUGAGAAGUGCAUUGAAUCCAACUAAUCUCCCAACAUCCCGCUUCACAGCACAGCACACCAGAGAGUCAACUGUUUCUCCUCAUGAUUGAAGGGCUGACAGGGAUCUGUGUUUUCUGCCACUGACUAGCAUCAUAGAGAGUCUAGCGUGGAACAUUGCCAGCCUGGGAAAAAAAAAUAAAUUUCAAAGUUGGAAAUAUGAUUGCUACUGAAGUUCUGGGCGUGGAUAAUGAGAAGACCCACCCUGUGUGUGAGUGCUACCCAGGUACCCUGAAAGAGGGCUGCUGCCAUUGCUUGCUGCUCGCUGCUUUGCUGCCUUCUGCCGACCAUGGACUGUUUCUCCUCUGUGACACCCCUCUGCCAUGACACCCUGCCUUAGAGAUAGCAAAUUAUGGACUGAAAUCUCUACAAACUGUGAGCUGAAAUAAAUCUUUCC
rnacentral:lncRNA from 1 species